UGGGGAAUAUUGGACAAUGGGGGAAACCCUGAUCCAGCAAUGCCGCGUGAGUGAUGAAGGCCUUAGGGUUGUAAAGCUCUUUUACCCGGGAAGAUAAUGACUGUACCGGGAGAAUAAGCCCCGGCUAACUCCGUGCCAGCAGCCGCGGUAAUACGGAGGGGGCUAGCGUUGUUCGGAAUUACUGGGCGUAAAGCGCACGUAGGCGGCUUGGUAAGUUAGAGGUGAAAGCCUGGAGCUCAACUCCAGAAUUGCCUUUAAGACUGCCGAGCUAGCAGGUGAGAGAGGUGAGUGGAAUUCCGAGUGUAGAGGUGAAAUUCGUAGAUAUUCGGAAGAACACCAGUGGCGAAGGCGGCUCACUGGCUCAUACUGGACGCUGAGGUGCGAAAGCGUGGGGAGCAAACA
rnacentral:rRNA from 1 species